AAUAUACUCCCUCUGUCCGGAAAUACUUGUCCUAGAAAUGAAUAAAAUGGAUGUAUCUAUAACUAAAAUAAGUCUAGAUACAUGUAUUUUUCGGACAAGUAUUUCCGGACGGAGGGAGUAGUAU
rfam:Hordeum vulgare subsp. vulgare, WGS project CAJW01000000 data, contig: morex_contig_39537